rnacentral:rRNA from 1 species
UACGGAGGGAGCUAGCGUUGUUCGGAAUUACUGGGCGUAAAGCGCGCGUAGGCGGCUUCGUAAGUCCGUUGUGAAAGUCAAAGGCUCAACCUUUGAAAGCCGAUGGAUACUGCGGAGCUAGAGUACGGAAGAGGCGAGUGGAAUUCCUGGUGUAGCGGUGGAAUGCGCAGAUAUCAGGAGGAACACCAAUAGCGAAGGCAGCUCGCUGGGACGUUACUGACACUGAGGCGCGAAAGCGUGGGGAGCGAACAGG